rnacentral:pre_miRNA from 1 species
UGAGACCUCUGGGUUCUGAGCUGUGAUGUUCCUUCCAAGCUGGGAUCUCUGGGGUCUUGGU